CAUAUAGACUUACUAAACCGAUGCAAACUACGAAUACCAAUGAGUGCAGCAUAGGAGACACACUAUGGGUGCUAACAUCCAUGGUGGAAAGGGAAAGAACCCAGACCGUCAGAUAAGGUCCCAAAAUCUUAGUUAAGUGGAAAACGAUGUGGGAAGACUAAGACAGCUAGGAGGUUGGCUUAGAAGCAGCCAUCCUUUAAAGAAAGCGUAAUAGCUCACUAGUCUAGUUCACCUGCGCGGAAAAUAUAACGGGGCUAAAACUAAGUACCGAAGCUACGGGUUUAUAUUAAAUAUAAGCGGUAGAGGAGCGUUGUGUAAGUCUGUGAAGGUAUAUUGUAAAAUAUGCUGGAGAUAUCACAAGUGCGAAUGCUGACAUGAGUAACGAUAAGGGAUGUGAGAAACAUCCCCGCCGAAAAACUAAGGGUUUCUGUUCAACGGUAAUCGGAGCAGAGUUAGUCGGUCCUAAGGUGAGGCUGAAAAGCGUAAUCGAUGGAAAACAGGUUAAUAUUCCCGUACCAUAUGUAAUUGCGAUGGGGGGACGGAGAAGGCUAGACGAGCCCAGCGUUGGUAGUCUGGGUGAAAGUAUGUAGGUUUAGAAAUUAGGUAAAUCCGAUUUCUUAAGAAAACUAAGGUAUGAGACGAAAUAGUAAAGUCGUUGAUGUCAUGCUUCCAGGAAAAGCCUCUAAGCGUCAGAUUACAUAUGACCGUACCAUAAACCGACACAGGUGGUUAGGUAGAGUAUACUAAGGCGUUUGAGAGAACUCGGGUGAAGGAACUAGGCAAAAUGACACCGUAACUUCGGGAGAAGGUGUGCCGAAUUAUUGUAUAACCUAUGAACCAGGGAAAGCAAGAAUCGGUCGAAGAGACCUGGUGGCUGCAACUGUUUAUUAAAAACACAGCACUCUGCUAACGCGUAAGCGGACGUAUAGGGUGUGACGCCUGCCCGGUGCUGGAAGGUUAAGAGGAGAUGUGCAAGCAUUGAAUUGAAGCCCCAGUAAACGGCGGCCGUAACUAUAACGGUCCUAAGGUAGCGAAAUUCCUUGUCGGGUAAGUUCCGACCUGCACGAAUGGCGUAAUGAUGGCCACACUGUCUCCAUCCGAGACUCAGUGAAAUUGAAAUUGCUGUGAAGAUGCAGUAUUCCCGCGGCUAGACGGAAAGACCCCGUGAACCUUUACUAUAGCUUCAUAUUGAAAGUGGGUAUUAUUUGUGUAGGAUAGCUGGGAGACAAUGAAGUAAAAACGCAAGUUUUUAUGGAGUCAACAUUGAAAUACCA
rnacentral:rRNA from 1 species